UGAAACUGCGAAUGGCUCAUUAAAACAGUUAUAGUUUAUUUGAUAAUUAAAACUACAUGGAUAACCGUAGUAAUUCUAGAGCUAAUACAUGCCCAAAAGCCCGACUUCUGGAAGGGCGGUAUUUAUUAGAUAUCAAACCAUUACCGCAAGGUCUUGUGAUGAUUCAUAAUAACUGAACGAAUCGCAGGUUUCUGCGAUGAAUCAUUCAAGUUUCUGCCCUAUCAGCUUUCGAUGGUAGUGUAUUGGACUACCAUGGCAGUCACGGGUAACGGAGAAUUAGGGUUCGAUUCCGGAGAGGGGGCCUGAGAAAUGGCUACCACAUCUAAGGAAGGCAGCAGGCGCGUAAAUUACCCAAUCCUGAUUCAGGGAGGUAGUGACAAGAAAUAACAACUCGGGUUCCGCAAGGGAUUACGAGAUUGCAAUGAGAACAAUUUAAACCACUUAUCGAGGAACAAUUGGAGGGCAAGUCUGGUGCCAGCAGCCGCGGUAAUUCCAGCUCCAAUAGCGUAUAUUAAAGUUGUUGCAGUUAAAAAGCUCGUAGUUGAAUUUCUAAUUGGAAUGCUAAACGGCUUCGGUCUUUAGUAUUCUCAAUUAUCCGUAUGCGAAACCAACUCGCACUUCACCGUGUGGUUGAUGUAGCAUACAAUUUACUUUGAAAAAAUUAGAGUGUUUCAGGCAGGCAAUUGCUAGAAUACACAAGCAUGGAAUAAUGGAAUAGGACUUUGAUCUAUUUUAUUGGUAUAUUAGAUCAAGGUAAUGAUUAAUAGGGACAGUUGGGGGCAUUAGUAUUUAAUUGUCAGAGGUGAAAUUCUUGGAUUUAUUAAAGACUAACUUAUGCGAAAGCAUUUGCCAAGGAUGUUUUCAUUAAUCAAGAACGAAAGUUAAGGGAUCAACGACGAUCAGAUACCGUCCUAGUCUUAACCAUAAACUAUACCGACUCUGGAUUGGUGAAGCUUUCUAAACUUCAUCAGCACAGUAUGAGAAAUCAAAGUCUUUGGGUUCUGGGGGGGAGUAUGGUCGCAAGGCUGAACUUAAAGGAAUUGACGGAAGGGCACCACCAGGAGUGGAGCCUGCGGCUUAAUUUGACUCAACACGGGGAACUUACCAGGUCCAGACAUAGUUAGGAUUGACAGAUUGAGAGCUCUUUCUUAAUUCUAUGGGUGGUGGUGCAUGGCCGUUCUUAGUUGGUGGAGUGAUUUGUCUGGUUAAUUCCGUUAACGAACGAGACCUUAACCUGCUAAAUAGUUAUCAUAUAGAUAUAUAUGAUUAACUUCUUAGAGGGACUAUGUACGCAAGUGCAUGGAAGUUUGAGGCAAUAACAGGUCUGUGAUGCCCUUAGAUGUCCUGGGCCGCACGCGCGCUACACUGACACAUUCAACAAGUUCUAUCCUGCCUCGGAAGAGGUGGGUAAUCUUAGGAAUGUGUGUCGUGAUGGGGAUAGAUCUUUGGAAUUAUAGAUCUUCAACGAGGAAUUCCUAGUAAGCAUAAGUCAUCAGCUUGUGCUGAUUACGUCCCUGCCCUUUGUACACACCGCCCGUCGCUCCUACCGAUUUUGAGUGAUCCGGUGAACCUUUUGGACUGUGCUGUAGUCUCGUGCUACAGCGUGGGAAGUUAAGUAAACCUUAUCACUUAGAGGAAGGAGAAGUCGUAACAAGGUUUCU
rnacentral:rRNA from 1 species